rnacentral:rRNA from 1 species
AAAAGGUCCAGCCUGCCCAGUGACCUAGUUCAACGGCCGCGGUAUCCUACCGUGCGAAGGUAGCGUAAUCACUUGUUCUUUAAAUGAGGACUAGUAUGAAUGGCACCACGAGGGUUAAACUGUCUCCUUUUUCUAAUCAGUGAAACUAAUCUCCCCGUGAAGAAGCGGGGAUUACCAUAUAAGACGAGAAGACCCUAUGGAGCUUAAAACAAAUUAACACCUGCUUCCAUCUAUCUUUAUUCCUGAGCUAACACAUAAAAUACAGCAUUAUUGAUUAAUAGUUUUCGAUUGGGGUGAUCAUGGAGUAAAAAUCAACCUCC